GGCUCAGUGGACGGUUCACAUCUGCGCAAUUUGCAUUGUUCCAGAAAGUCAAGCAGAAGACGCUGGUUCGAUUCCAGCUCGAGCCA